UUGACGUGGGGGCACCCUGACCGCAAUGCCGCGUGAGUGAAGAAGGCCUUCGGGUUGUAAAGCUCUUUUGUCAGGGAAGAAACACCGGCUCUAACACAGUCCGGGAAUGACGGUACCUGAAGAAUAAGCACCGGCUAACUACGUGCCAGCAGCCGCGGUAAUACGUAGGGUGCAAGCGUUAAUCGGAAUUACUGGGCGUAAAGCGUGCGCAGGCGGUUAUACAAGACAGGCGUGAAAUCCCCGGGCUUAACCUGGGAAUGGCGCCUGUGACUGUAUAGCUAGAGUGUGUCAGAGGGGGGUAGAAUUCCACGCGUAGCAGUGAAAUGCGUAGAUAUGUGGAGGAAUACCAAUGGCGAAGGCAGCCCCCUGGGAUAACACUGACGCUCAUGCACGAAA
rnacentral:rRNA from 1 species